GAAAUGCGAUAAGUAAUGUGAAUUGCAGAAUUCCGUGAAUCAUCGAAUCUUUGAACGCAUAUUGCGCCCUCUGGCAUUCCGGGGGGCAUGCCUGUCCGAGCGUCAUUACGCACCCUCAAGCCCGGCUUGUGUGAUGGGCCCCGGCGUCUCGUUCGCGAGACGGGCCCGAAAGGCAGCGGCGGCGUCGACCCGAUGAGCCCGAGCGUAUGGGGACUUCUGUCACACGUUCGCGGUGCGGACCGUCGCCUGCUUGACUUUUCUGAUUAUCCAGGUUGACCUCGGAUCAGGUAGGGAUACCCGCUGAACUUAAGC
rnacentral:misc_RNA from 1 species